UAGCAGGGCCUCAUACAUCAAGAUCAUUGU
rnacentral:piRNA from 1 species